GUGCUUUUUUUUCUGAAGCUUUGGUAGUGUAACUGUAAGAGUCCUGGAAUUGGAAAAGCAAAUCCAGAAGUUGAGUUCCAUGACUUUUUUGCUGUUUGCCUUUGGCUGAAUCCAAGAAGAGAAGCCCUUGAAGAGUGUAUUCUAUUCUAGACAAGCAUUCACACAUUGGCUUCUUUGGUGCCAGAUUAAAGAAUGAAGAAAGGAUCAAAUUGAGACAUCCAGGGGGGAAGAGUUCCCUGGCAAAACUCCAAUCUGCCUGAGCACUGAGGUGGAGCCACAGAAGUCCGGGUCAUUUGCACCUGGGAGGAGCCUGGCCCCUCCUCUUCCUGUGUGGAAUCUGGGAUUUAAUCUGUGAGGAGGGAAGGCCAAGGGCAGGAAGCACAGGCUCUCACUUCACUAAGAGUCUCUGUUUCCCCUUUUUUUCCUUUAUGCCUAAUUAAUAAAUCCCAUUUUUCUCACUCUUCAAAUAGUCUUCAAGCCUAAAUUUUCAUGACCAUGGAACAAGGACCCCAUCUUUAGCUGAACUAAGGAAAAGUCCUGCAACAAAAUUCUUUGCUAAAAAUACAUGAGGUUGCCUUUUCCUUCUUAAUCUUAAAAGAAAUAUAUUUCAAUGGUUAACGUUUUAGUAAUUCAAAAAUUAUCAAGCAUUUGUUCACAACCAUAAGAUGUGCAUUGUUUUAUAUUCCUACUUAAUAAUAGACUAUAAUUGUCUAAUUAGACUGCCGAUGUUGAUCUUUGUGGCUCAUUGCAUUGAUUAUAAGCAGUGUUUUGGGUUUGUGUGUGUGUGUCAAAUUUAGGGUUUUUUUGGUAUGGCUGCUGGUUGGUGUAGCCUGUAUCCAGUAUCCUGUAUUAAUUCUAAUAUUUGCAUUUUGAACAUAUUUACAAGUUGCUAAAAUAGCAAAGCUUCGAGAUGAGCCUGGCUGAUAUGGCAAAACCCCGUCUCUACUAAAAAUACAAAAAUUAGCCUGGUGUGGUGGUGCAUGCCUGUAAUCCCAGCUACUUGGAAGUCUGAGGCAGGAGAAUCUCUUGAACCCAGAAGGUGGAGGUUGCAGUGGGCCAAGAUCGCACCACUGCACUCCAGCCUCGGUGAUAGAGCGAGACUACGUCUCAAAAAUAAAAUAAAAUAAAAUAAAAUAAAAAUAGCAAAGCUAUGUAUGGUUUCUCUGAGUUUUGUAAUUUAUCAUUGUUAACUGCAGAAAUUUAUUAUAUGAGACAUAUUAUAUGAGACAUAUAAGUGAAUUUGGAUUGGGUUUAAUUUUAUAUUUUUGAAUAUAGUUCUUCAAGAUAAAUUUUAUCUUAGACCUCAAGAAAUAAAAAUAAAAUAAAUUAGAUAUACAAACGA
rnacentral:lncRNA from 10 species